CAUGAAACAACCCUUUCACUUGCUAGCAACCCUCCUCCUCAGCCUAUGGCUUCCCCUUGCUUUCCUCCUCGUCGCCAGGCUAUCUUAUGUUAACUACACCUUAGACGCCACCGUGUUAGACCCUUCUUCUACACCUUCCCCACCAUCGUUCCUUUUCUCUUUCUACUUGUACACCAAUCCAGCUCUUCUUUAUUUCCUCGUUGCAGCUAUUAGCAUCGUGGCUCUGGUUCAUGG
rnacentral:lncRNA from 1 species